rnacentral:rRNA from 1 species
GACGAACGCCGGCGGCGUGCUUAACACAUGCAAGUCGAGCGGUAAGGCCCUUUCGGGGGUACACGAGCGGCGAACGGGUGAGUAACACGUGGGUGACCUGCCCUCAGCUCUGGGAUAAGCCUGGGAAACUGGGUCUAAUACUGGAUAUGACUCCACGGUGCAUGUCGUGGGGUGGAAGGCCUUGUGCGGCUGAGGAUGGGCCCGCGGCCUAUCAGCUUGUUGGUGGGGUGANGGCCUACCAAGGCGACGACGGGUAGCCGGCCUGAGAGGGCGACCGGCCACACUGGGACUGAGACACGGGCCCAGACUCCUACGGGAGGCAGCAGUGGGGAAUCUUGCGCAAUGGGCGAAAGCCUGACGCAGCGACGCCGCGUGAGGGAUGACGGCCUCGGUUGUAA